rnacentral:rRNA from 1 species
UCGGGGACAGUGCAUGGUAGGCAGUUUGACUGGGGCGGUCUCCUCCUAAAGUGUAACGGAGGAGUUCGAAGGUACGCUAGGUACGGUCGGACAUCGUGCUAAUAGUGCAAUGGCAUAAGCGUGCUUAACUGCGAGACCGACAAGUCGAGCAGGUACGAAAGUAGGACAUAGUGAUCCGGUGGUUCUGUAUGGAAGGGCCAUCGCUCAACGGAUAAAAGGUACUCUGGGGAUAACAGGCUGAUUCCUCCCAAGAGUUCAUAUCGACGGGGGAGUUUGGCACCUCGAUGUCGGCUCAUCACAUCCUGGGGCUGUAGCCGGUCCCAAGGGUAUGGCUGUUCGCCAUUUAAAGUGGUACGUGAGCUGGGUUUAAAACGUCGUGAGACAGUUUGGUCCCUAUCUGCCGUGGGCGUUGGAAAUUUGAAGGGGGCUGCUCCUAGUACGAGAGGACCGGAGUGGACGAACCUCUGGUGUACCGGUUGUCACGCCAGUGGCAUUGCCGGGUAGCUAAGUUCGGAAGAGAUAACCGCUGAAAGCAUCUAAGCGGGAAACUUGCCUUAAGAUGAGAUUUCCCGGAGCCUUGAGCUCCUUGAAGGGUCGUUCGAGACCAGGACGUUGAUAGGCUGGGUGUGGAAGUGCAGUAAUGCAUUAAGCUAACCAGUACUAAUUGCCCGUACGGCUUGUCCCUAUAACCUUGCCGGUUAUA